AACGUAGGUGGCGAGCGUUAUCCGGAUUUACUGGGCGUAAAGGGUGUGUAGGUGGCGCCGUAAGUCGGGUGUGAAAUCUCGGGGCUUAACUCCGAAACUGCAUUCGAUACUGCGGUGCUUGAGGACUGGAGAGGAGACUGGAAUUCCUGGUGUAGCGGUGAAAUGCGCAGAUAUCAGGAGGAACACCGGUGGCGAAGGCGGGUCUCUGGGCCGAUACUGACGCUGAGGAGCGAAAGCGUGGGGAGCGAACAGG
rnacentral:rRNA from 1 species